AGGUUUCAUGUAGACUCUUUACCAGGAAAUUUUUUAACAAGUAUCCUUCUCAGUCAGCAUCAAGUCUAUAAUGUUUUGCGGAUAAGGCAAUAAGAAGAUGCAGGAACUUAUGAAGAACUAUAUAAAUUUAUAUAUGCUAUACAUAAAUUUAUGAUAUUAUUACCUUGUGUACAUAAAAUUUCAGUAGGAGAUAAACAUUCAGUUCCACACAUGGAAAGAACUAAACGAUGUCCAAUAAAUUGGGGAGAGAUCUCUGGCUUUGGAUGAAGGGGGUGCUGAAGGGCUUCCCUUGUAUCCUAGCAGAGGCUCCUGCAAAAGUCAACUUGACUUCCAGUGUAUUAUGAGGAAAGCUCAUUAGCAUAGAAUCAAUGUCAGUUCCCAUGACAUUUGCAGCUCUUCCCUGAACAUUCUAUUGUAUCCUGGAGAGCCCUGGCUUCUUCUGUGAUGUCACGUAUGUUGUGGCAACACCAACUUCCCUUGGGAAAUUUAUUCAGUGCCUUCACCAUUUACUGAUGACCAUGAUGGCAUACUGAAGAGUCUAAUUCAGAAAGAGAUUGGAGAGGGUAGAGAAACUAGAGUGUGACAGAAGAAAGCUGACCUUCAGCCUCAAAGUAAAACGUCAAGAAAGAAAUGGUCAAGAGAAUCAUGUAAUGAGUUCUGUGCAAGAAAAGGGAAUUUUCCUGGAGGAAGUGGGCUUGUGCUGAAUCUUCCAAUAAUGGGGAACAGAAAGCUGGAGUCUCUGGGAACCAACAGAACUUCCCUGCUUGUCAUGCCUCUUGAAAUUCAAGGAAUCCAGGAUAUAAAUUGUUCUGGCUCAGAAGUCAGGAACUGGCUUGUGGACUCUGCAGCCAAGUUGAAUUCUGAGUCUGCUGCUGUGAAUGAGCCUGAAGAGUCUAUCUCCUUGGUUACUUGGAGCAUGUGCUAUGAGGGCAGAGAAAACCAGAGAGCUGAGAUAACCACUUUCCUUCAAAUUGAGGAGUCAGUUGUGUUCCCCAGAGGGGGCAUCUGAAGCAUGGGACAAAAUAAUUUGGUGUUUCAGCUAGUCAUUGGUAAACAAGCUUUCUCAAACAUUUGAUUAGGACUGAGGUUGGUCUGUCCUCUUUGCCUUGUCAUACUGCAAGCUAAUUUGUGUUCAUCUACCCACAAGGAGCACCAGGGAGCCACCAUCCCACCAAACCUUCCUCCCCAAGAUGCAGGUGAGCAGAAGGUGCAGAGACUGAACUGUCAGCUACAGCAAAUGACAAUUGAAAGAAAUUAGCAGUGAGAUUGCAUGAUCUUUAUCACAGAAGAGAUCUUGAAGAAUAGGUGUUCAUUCUUUAAACCCUGUGGUUUCAACCUUAGGUCCACUCUGUCAUCAUUUAUUCAUUUUAUACAAGUUUUGUGUUUCUGGUAGGCUGCAUGUUCAGCGUGUACCUUUGUGCAAAAUCAUGUAGCUGAACUCCUCCUAAAGGCAGAACCUCAAAUGCGGACAGGAAUGACAUGAGGACAAAGACUAUUCUGCUUCCUCUAAAAAGAAACAAAAACAGAGCCUGUGGCAUGAGUCAUACUACUCAUGCAUUGAGGUAGAAGUAAUUGAGUUCCCAGAAUGCAUUUGAAGAGAUUCUAUCAAGUGCUGGCUAGUGUGAGAUGAUAGUUGCUGUGAGUUUGAGUUGAUUGUUUUGUUACUUGCUUGGAAAGGCCUUGUGUGUUUGAUUAUUCAAGCAGCACUUGGAGAGGCCUGGUCACACAUCUAAAUGUGUGGAUACAGGGACUGAGUUGAUCCCUGCUCCUUUUGUUCCUCUAUGAGAGGACACACCUGCAUGCAUGUUUUCAGCAUCCAAUUGAUAGAGUUCUCCCACUCUCAUUCAGUCUCUCUUUCUCUGUCUCUCUAAGAAUCUCUUUCUCUGUCUGUCUCUCACACACUUGUGUAUGUGUUGUGUAUUUUUUGAUGUGUUUGUGCAUGUGUAUCCCAAUAAUUACUGCAAUCAGGGAUCUGUGGUUGGACAUGAGCAGUUCCCUAUCUCACAGUUCCCAGGUGAUACCUUGGUGAAAAUUGGGAGCACCACUUUGAGCAUUAUAGUUCUGCCAGGGUACUUAUUUUAAUGACACAUAGAUAUACCCUUGGGGAGUUUAUAAAUCUGUCAUGAUGUUUAGUCCCAUCCUCAAAACUGUUCAUGAUGUUAUUUUUGUCUCCAUUGUCACAGAAAUGAUGAUGGAGAAUUUGUUUUUGAAUACAGGAGAAACAUCUUCACAGAUUCUGGAGGGUACACACCUGUGGAGUAGACACGAAUUAAAUUCUUAGCUAUUUCAGCAAACCUCCUGAGAGAGCUCAUGUAGCUCCACCUCCCAUCAUCUAAACAGCCUGCCUCUGUUGGCCUAGGGUCAGAAUAGCUGUAAGUAAAUUGUAUGAAACUCUGUGGGUUUGGUCCCGGGUUUUAGCAUAAAUAAUAAAAAUAAAUUUGUUGCAACAA